rnacentral:rRNA from 1 species
AGAGUUUGAUCAUGGCUCAGAUUGAACGCUGGCGGCAUGCCUUACACAUGCAAGUCGAACGGCAGCAUGAUCUAGCUUGCUAGAUUGAUGGCGAGUGGCGAACGGGUGAGUAAUACAUCGGAACGUGCCCUGUAGUGGGGGAUAACUAGUCGAAAGAUUAGCUAAUACCGCAUACGACCUGAGGGUGAAAGUGGGGGACCGCAAGGCCUCAUGCUAUAGGAGCGGCCGAUGUCUGAUUAGCUAGUUGGUGAGGUAAAGGCUCACCAAGGCGACGAUCAGUAGCUGGUCUGAGAGGACGAUCAGCCACACUGGGACUGAGACACGGCCCAGACUCCUACGGGAGGCAGCAGUGGGGAAUUUUGGACAAUGGGCGAAAGCCUGAUCCAGCAAUGGCCGCGUGUGUGAAGAAGGCCUUCGGGUUGUAAAGCACUUUUGUCCGGAAAGAAAUGGCUCUGGUUAAUACCUGGGGUCGAUGACGGUACCGGAAGAAUAAGGACCGGCUAACUACGUGCCAGCAGCCGCGGUAAUACGUAGGGUCCAAGCGUUAAUCGGAAUUACUGGGCGUAAAGCGUGCGCAGGCGGUUGUGCAAGACCGAUGUGAAAUCCCCGAGCUUAACUUGGGAAUUGCAUUGGUGACUGCACGGCUAGAGUGUGUCAGAGGGGGGUAGAAUUCCACGUGUAGCAGUGAAAUGCGUAGAGAUGUGGAGGAAUACCGAUGGCGAAGGCAGCCCCCUGGGAUAACACUGACGCUCAUGCACGAAAGCGUGGGGAGCAAACAGGAUUAGAUACCCUGGUAGUCCACGCC